GAGAAAACAACCAUGCUUCAUGCAAGAGAACGCUUACCUCUAGAACCACAACUUACACUAGAAAAAGCAAUAACCAUUGCUACUCAGGUUGAGUCAGCUACAGCUGAAGCCAAAAUAAUGAGCAUGAAUACAGGAGGCACAAUCCAAACUGUGACUCCUUUGCACAAAAGUUCACUAUUGCUGCAGACAAACAAUUACAAGAGCAA